CCUACGGGCGGCAGCAGUGAGGAAUAUUGGUCAAUGGCCGCGAGGCUGAACCAGCCAAGUCGCGUGAGGGAAGACGGUCCUAUGGAUUGUAAACCUCUUUUGUCGGGGAGCAAAAGACGCCACGCGUGGCGGUCCGAGAGUACCCGAAGAAAAAGCAUCGGCUAACUCCGUGCCAGCAGCCGCGGUAAUACGGAGGAUGCGAGCGUUAUCCGGAUUUAUUGGGUUUAAAGGGUGCGCAGGCGGAAGUGCAAGUCAGCGGUAAAAUUGAGGGGCUCAACCACUUCGUGCCGUUGAAACUGGUUUUCUUGAGUGAGUGAGAAGUAUGCGGAAUGCGGGGUGUAGCGGUGAAAUGCAUAGAUAUAACGCAGAACUCCGAUGGCGAAGGCAGAAUACCGGCGCGCAACUGACGCUCAUGCACGAAAGUGUGGGUAUCGAACAGGAUUAGAUACCCUAGUAGUC
rnacentral:rRNA from 1 species